UACGUAGGCAGCAAGCGUUGUUCGGAAUUACUGGGCGUAAAGAGUGUGUAGGCGGUGCUCUAAGUUCGUUGUGAAAUCUCCCGGCUUAACUGGGAGGGUGCGGCGGAAACUGGAGUGCUUGAGCGCGGGAGAGGAAAGCGGAAUUCCUGGUGUAGCGGUGAAAUGCGUAGAUAUCAGGAGGAACACCUGUGGUGUAGACGGCUUUCUGGACCGUAGCUGACGCUGAGACACGAAAGCGUGGGUAGCGAACGGG
rnacentral:rRNA from 1 species